rnacentral:lncRNA from 1 species
GUAAGUUACAUGGCAUUGAGUGCUGAGCUGUAUGUCAGAGGGGGGAGGCGGCGGAACUCAUUUUGUGACGACAGCUAACAUGUGCUCAGCUCUGACACUGCCUGCACGACUCCUCUAGCGUGUAUCUCACAACCACCCUAGCAGGCAGGUUCUGCUAUUAUGCACCAUACUACACAUGGUGCAGAAUCUCUUCCCAGAUCUCAGGGAGUCCUGUUUUGUCUGACUCCCCCACCACUCUGGGAACUCUCAUGUGGGCAGAGACCAUGUUGGUUCUUCUCUCCAAAAUAUUGCUACUGUCCAGUACAGCCCCAGUUCAUCCUUGUGUUCAUCAAGAGUUGCUGAAUGGAUGUAUGCACGUGUGCAAGACAAACUCCCCUCACCAGAGUUCUUAGCCCACAGCUCAUCAUCUCCUACUGAUCGCUUUGCUGAUCCCUCUCUACAGCAUGACUGGCCACAUCCAAGACACGACUUGGCUGGUGCGCUAGAGCAGAAAGAGCGAGAAGGGGUCUCUAGGUGCAGCCUUGAGUCACAGGCAGGCUGGGAGGAAGUGGGAGCUCAAGGACCAGCGACCGUGUCUUGAGCUGUGAGAAAAUAUCUGAACGGUAGAUUCAUUAGGUCCCUCCUGGCUUUAAUGACCAGGGCAGCAAGAGAGAAGUAAUAACGAGUGACAUUUAUAUAGUGUGUUACGGUUUACAUAGCUCUUGCAUGCACAUUACCUCAUUUAAUCCGGAAGGAGCACAGGGCGGGGUUGAAGCUCGUGGCCCUGGAGUUUGCCUGUCUGGGUUUGCAUCCUGGCUCCAGCACUUACUGUGUGACCCUGGACUAUUUAGGCAUCCUGCAUCCCUGUUCCCUUAUGUGUAUGAUGAAGGCACUGACAGUAACUGUCUCAUCAUCACACAUCAAAUCAUCACAGACUUGCUGUGGUGAUUAAAUAAGGUAAUGCCCCUAAAGCACUUAGAAUAGCACCUGGAGCAUAGUAAACACUAAAUAAAAGUUGGUGCUUAUUACACAAUCCUCUCAAUAGGCCCGGGAGAUGUAUAGACAUAUCCCGUUUUAUGGGCGAGCAGAAUGGGACUCAGAAGGGUAGAGUCCACCUGUCUGAGGUCACAUGGUGGAGAAGCAGGGGUGAGGGGCAGGGCUAGCACCAGGUCUGUUUGACCCCCAAAGCCUGGUUCUUUCAACUUCUUCAUGCCACCUCCACUGAUGUGCACUUUGUCUAGGCUCAAAGGCAGGAGAAGCUGUAGCAGGCUCAUGCACCAGGGUAUUUAAAAAAAGAUCACUUGUCUAGAUGAACUAAGGUCUCAGUGAGGUAGUACAGCUGAGAAUGCACUUUCUACUCCACCAGCCUAUGAUGAAAAUGUAAAUAAUUAUCGUUGAAAUGUUAACAACGUAUUUUAAUUUUUUUCCUAGCAUUUAAUUGUCCCCUUUCCGGGACAGCACUCCAGUAUCCCUAGGAAGGCCACAGCUCCUCCACUCUGUCAGUGCUUCCAUAGAGCUGACUCUAUCCUUGGCUGGAGGGAUGGGCAGAGGACACAGGUCUGGCCAAUCAGAGCAGUGCGUCCCCUCAGCCACAAGGACUAGCUCAGGAAUGGGCAUGUGACGCAGUCUGACAGACAAGGCCCAAUUGCAGAACUUUGGUCACAGCCAUUGGGGAAGAGGCAUUUCCUUCCUUCUGGCCAGGCUUGGCAGAUAUGAUAUCAUAGCCUGGCACUUCUGAAGCCACCCUGCCUCACAGUGGGGUUGGCCUGCCUGAGAAUGGGGCCAGCCCAGAGGCAAGCCGAGUUGAGAGGUGGAGAGAUAAAGUCCAUGUCCCCGAAUUUUACUGAGCCUGGGACUAGAUCUAUCUUUUUUUCUAUUAUGCUGUCUUGUCCUAAGCAUCUGCUAGGUUUCCACACUUGGCUUUAUGGUCAAUACACCUUCUUAAUAUCCCAACAGCUGCUCAGAGGAGGUGGGAGUAGCUUUAUAGGACAGAGGAGGAAACAAAGGCUUUGAGGUAGGAAGUGACUUGGCCCAAGCGCACAGGGACUCCAGACCCUUUCUGCAAAGGGCACAGCCCCUGUACUAAGAAGGCGAACUCAGCGUCUGGAUGAAGCCCUUGCCUUCUGUCGUCCCCUGCCCUCAGGCAGGGAUGCAUUCUCUCAUGGGAAUGUCACAACAGAAAGAAUUUGGGUGCUCCAGGAAACGUGUAUUCUUUGGCUCCAUCCCUCAUCCCCCUCAAUUGUCCUCCUGACAGCCAGAUUGGAGCCAAACUGGAUUUAUUGAAUUUCACAACUUUGUUGAACCAAUUUGUGGAUUAAGAAAACAAAAAUGAAAUCCACAUUUUUAUUUGACACCAUCAAAAAUAGGACACACAGACAGGAAAGGGACAUUCUGGCCUUGGAAUAGAUUGAGUGGAGCCCAAAUCCUUGCUUCUCAAAGGUUUUUGUUUUUGUUGUUGUUGUUUCCCAUCACCCUGCUUCUCACAGGCCUUUGGGAAGCCUGUCCCCACAUCUUCUCUGAGACCUGGAAUCUGGACCUUAUGUUGAGGCUGGGCACCCACAUCUGGGAUGUGAUUCCUUUCUGCCCUCACCCCAUCAUUCUCUCUCUCCAGUUUCCCUGCGAUUUCCUCUUGGCCAUAGCCUGGUGUGCCUGAAACAAAGAAAAGAAAUGCAGAUAAUUGGAUCUUCAUGACAUUUUCCCAACUGGCCACUUUCCCUGUAACAAGACCAAGCCUGUCUCUUCCAUUGUACUCUCGUGAGCUACCUGGGUCAGAACCUGAAAUCUUGGCGCAGAAGUCCUGUGGCCUGCCUAUAAACUUCUCAUUCCCGGCAGCUGGCACAUGCAUGGCCCAAUAAAUAUUUCUUGAUUGAAUGGAAGGAGCUGUGAAUAGUGGCCUCCUCAAGCAAAGGACAUUUUAUCUCCCAAAGGGAAAUCUACUUUGUUGAUAUGAAAGUGAGCUUCUUAAUAGGUCUACGGGGCAACAUUUUGCUAACCCCAUUCAAAUUAUAACAGACUUCAAAGUCAUAAAGGCAGUAAUAUGCUUCCUUUUAAGUGUGUAAUUUGUAUUUUUUUACACCCAGGAAUGGAAAACAGGGAGUGAAAUAUCCCCCAAUUAUUAUUUUGUGCUUUUGAGGCAGGAUGGCCCACUCACCUGUGGGGACUCUGGUGGCCAAGCACCUCCCACCUCAUUCUUGGCAAUUGUUUUCAUCUGCCUCCCUUCACACUGGCCCUAGCUCAGGUCUGGAAUCUUCCCAGGGUCUGACCUCUGAGUGUCUGUCUCAUGCAAUUCUGCUGCCCUGGUAUUGACUCUCAGGACACAGAAGUAUACUCUCUGCCACAUUCAUGACCACCCUGGGUGACGUGUCAAGGCAUCUUAGUGCAGCCCUGAGUCCCUUGGAGGGAAAUGGCCCCAGUCUGCUUCCUGUUUGAGGUAGCUCUGUUCUGGAUCACUUGGUCCUCCCCUCUCCCUCCUGCCACUGCUGAUUGCAUUGUGGUGAUCACCCCAAGGUCAUCCCAAAGGCAGGCUGCCGUGUAGAGCCUGGCUUGGCACAGGAGGCCCCAGCCAAUGAUCUCUGAUGCUGACCUCAUGCUCCAGGUGCCUGAAACAAAGAAAAGAAAUGCAGAUAAUUGGAUCUUCAUGACAAUUUCCCAACUGGCCACUUUCCCUGUAACAAGACCAAGCCUGUCUCUUCCAUAUGGGUCAGCCAUAUCCCACCCACUCCUCCUGGGAUUUGACUUGGGGAAUGUGGACAGAAUCACACAGUCAGUAGAAGUUGGAAAGUAGGCGGAAGUGGCCACAUGGGGUAGGGACAUAUCAGAGUUAUGAUGAAUCAGAAGCAGAAGCCCCAAGUUGAAGAAGAGAUACAAAGCUUGGAAGCAGGAAGAGAUGGAGCGGACACACAAAGGAAUCCAACACUGGAGAACGGCAACGUAAAGGUGGCGUGCUAGGGGAAAGCUCCAGAAUUCCUGCAGCUGGGCGCUGGAGCCACCCUGAACUUUCAAAGACCUCCCUAUUCCAGUCUCCACAAUCCCAGGUCCUGGUAUGUCCCUGGAUUUGGGGGGAGAUUCUGGCUCCUUUGUAGCACCACAAUAAACCCUUAUUGCCUGAGUUAUCCCAAGUGACUCCCUGUUCUUUAUGGGCUCACAAGCCAACACACC